rnacentral:rRNA from 1 species
GUCGAACGGACUUAAUCGAUUCUUUUAGAUUCGAAGCGGUUAGUGGCGGACUCGUGAGUAACACGUAAGCAACCUGCCUGUUAGAGGGGAAUAACAGUGAGAAAUCACUGCUAAAACCGCAUAUGCCGUGAACAUCGCAUGAUGAAAACGGGAAAAGAGCAAUCUGCUAAUAAAUGGGCUUGCGUCUGAUUAGCUAGUUGGUGUGGUAAAGGCAUACCAAGGCAACGAUCAGUAGCCGGACUGAGAGGUUGAACGGCCACAUUGGGACUGAGAUACGGCCCAGACUCCUACGGGAGGCAGCAGUCGGGAAUAUUGCGCAAUGGAGGAAACUCUGACGCAGUGACGCCGCGUAUGGGAAGAAGGUUUUCGGAUUGUAAACCAUUUUAGACAAGGAAGAAACAAGACAGUACUUGUAGAAUAAGCUCCGGCUAACUACGUGCCAGCAGCCGCGGUAAUACGUAGGGAGCAAGCGUUAUCCGGAUUUAUUGGGUGUAAAGGGUGCGUAGACGGGAAGGUAAGUUAGUUGUGAAAUCCCUCGGCUCAACUGAGGAACUGCGACUAAAACUGCUUUUCUUGAGUACUGGAGAGGAAAGUGGAAUUCCUAGUGUAGCGGUGAAAUGCGUAGAUAUUAGGAGGAACACCAGUGGCGAAGGCGACUUUCUGGACAGUAACUGACGUUGAGGCACGAAAGUGUGGGGAGCAAACAGGAUU